rnacentral:rRNA from 1 species
AUUGAACGCUGGCGGCAGGCCUAACACAUGCAAGUCGAGCGAGUGGCGGACGGGUGAGUAAUGUAUGGGAAACUGCCCGAUAGAGGGGGAUAACUACUGGAAACGGUAGCUAAUACCGCAUACUAUCGGAUGUGCCCAGAUAGGAUUAGCGCGUAGGUGAGGUAACGGCUCACCUAGGCGACGAUCCCUAGCUGGUCUGAGAGGUUGAGCAGCGAGACUGGAACUGAGAAACGGCCCAGACACCUACGUGAGGCAGGAGUGGGGAAUGUUGCACAAGGGGGGCAAGCCUUAUGCAUCCAUACCGCGUGUAUGAUGAAGGCCUUCGGGUUGUAAAGUACUUUUAGCAGUGAGGCGUUACCCGCAGAAUAAGCACCGGCUAACUCCGUGCCAGCAGCCGCGGUAAUAC